UAGGCACGAGAUUGAGGAAUUAACUUUCAUUUACAGAUCGAGGAAAUGGAGAAAUUUCCUGUGCUCUUAUGGAAGUGCCAGACUAUGCAAAAAGUGAUGAAUACUGAUGAACCUUUACCUUCCUCCACAAACACAAAUUAUAUGGGUGCCUCGAGGAGCGAACGAUCUUACAACCAGCAGCUCCAUAGCACAACCCACCCAAUCAGCACUUCACCCUUACUAUCACCUGUUUGAGACCUCGAACGCGAAUGGUAAACAUGCUUGGUCACCCCUUCAACAUAUGCUUCGCUCUCCUUAAGUAUGGUAGGCAUCACAUCAUCUCUUAGGUGCAAUCUGGCUCGCAAUUUUGAGAUAUCCACUGUUAGGUUCAUGAUGUAUACUAAUGGACGUGAAACUAGAGAAAAGAAAAGAAAACUAAGAGAUAAAGCACCCUAACAGUGAUGCAGAGGCAACACUUCGUAGAAUCCUAAACCUGCCACAAUUUUCACCAGAGAAGACUCCUAUUGGAGAUAAACAAUAGCAAGAAUGGACCCACGGUUCUUGUUGGAUUAUCAUCGCAUAAAAAUCCUAAAAUGAGAUAAUCCACCAGACGGCUAAACUAGAAAUUGCAAAUCCAUGCCGGAAAAUUGAUGAAGAUGGAUGAGGAUGCAUAUGGAACAACACUUUAAUUCUAUGUUGUAUUUAUCUUUUUUAUUUGUUUAUUUAGUCAUAGGUUGUUAAAUGGAAAACAGAGGACUACUAGACAUAGAAGACAACUGGAAGAUUUUGGAUAGCUGAGCCCGCAAGAUCAAUGGCUGAAGAAGUAAACAAAAAGGCGAGGGAAAGGAAAGUCAAGCCAUGAAGAAAUAAAAUCCAGAUUGUUCUCUCUCAAAUUGCAUUUUCUUUUACUUCCUCCAUUAACCAUUCAAGAAAUGAAAUUCAUAUUGUUCUCUCUCAAUUUGAAUUUUCUUUUACUUCCCCCGUUAACCAUUCCUUAAAAGAAUUCUUGUAUCAUAGUUUUUAUUAUUUAACUACUCUAUAGGUGUAUAAAACCUUGAGAGUCAAGGGGCUUCGAACAAAAUUUCAAUUAAUUAGCAAUUAGGUUCGGUUUGUUAUUAAAGAAGCAGCUGACAGUGAGCUUCAGUUGGCUUUUUUUGAAUAACAAAAUCUUGAUCUGAAUCCUGUAUUUAUGGAGUCAACGAACUUGUGAUCGCCUUGUAUUCGUGUUUUUAUUUCUUUUUCU
rnacentral:lncRNA from 1 species